rnacentral:rRNA from 1 species
GGGUCAGUAGGUUGGUCGUGCCACCGGUACGUACUGGUCUCACUGAUUCCUCCUUCCUGAAGAACCGUAAUGCCGUUAAUUUGGUGUUGCGGGGAAACAGGACUGUUGCUUUGAAAAAAUUAGAGUGUUUAAAGCAAGCUAACGCUUGAAUACAUUAGCAUGGAAUAAUGAAAUAGGACGAUCGAUCCUAUUUUGUUGGUUUCUAGGAUUGACGUA